UUAUCGGAGAGUUUGAUCCUGGCUCAGGACGAACGCUGGCGGCGUGCCUAAUACAUGCAAGUCGAGCGAACAGAUGGGAGCUUGCUCCCUGAUGUUAGCGGCGGACGGGUGAGUAACACGUGGGUAACCUGCCUGUAAGACUGGGAUA
rnacentral:rRNA from 1 species